UAUGAGCUUUCGUGUGCAUGCACACUUCUUCGGUGUGUAUCUGAAGAAGUGUGCAUGUACACGAAAGCUUAUA